GGAGACAAUGGGUGCCUCACUUAGAGUGAAGUCUCGCGUCUCAUUCCUGAUCUGAAAUGACCCACAUGGAUUCACACUGUCUCAGAACCUUUAUUUCUUUGAGAUAUAUAUAUAUAUAUUUUCUGGAAGCUUGGAAAGUCCUGGGGGUGUUCUAUGAAUAGGCAAUCAAUAUGGACUUCAUUGAAAUAUCGUGUGUCAAUUGGAUUUCAUCCCUUAAUCACACUGGCAGAGAAAAGAGGGUAGUGGCUGCUUUGGAGAAUGGAGGAAGCCAGAAAGAAGAUAAAGAGUGAAGAUACAAGAAGACAACGGGAUAAGAUUCAGGGAAGAGAGAAGGUCAUAGAGCUGAGAAGGAAUUGACUUUUCUUCAUGUUAAGGGUGGCAGAGGGGAAGACUUCAGCUGAUCACUAUUCAGGUACAUCUGGAUCCAGGAAUAAGAAACCGUAUGGUGUCCAACUCCUUCAAAAUGGCAAGUAUUGCUCCUAAGAGACCCUUGAAGACUGAGGGAGAAGGGAAAAAAUCAUGUCUUCACGAAGUAGUAGAGGAAUACUGGAG
ensembl:lncRNA